CAGUUAGUGACAGGUAAGGCAGGGUUGCCAAAUCUGGCAACCCUGCCUUACCUGUUACUUUCUG
rnacentral:pre_miRNA from 1 species